UACAGAGGUCCCGAGCGUUUGUUCGGAUUCAUUGGGCGUAAAGGGUGCGUAGGCGGCGGGGUAAGUUUGAUGUGAAAUCCCGGGGCUCAACCCUGGAAUUGCAUUGAAUACUACCUUGCUAGAGUACCGGAGAGGAAACUGGAAUUUACGGUGUAGCAGUGAAAUGCGUAGAGAUCGUAAGGAAGACCAGUGGCGAAGGCGAGUUUCUGGACGGUAACUGACGCUGAGACACGAAAAGCGUGGGUAGCAAACAGG
rnacentral:rRNA from 1 species